GACGAACGCUGGCGGCGUGCCUAAUACAUGCAAGUAGAACGCACAGUUUAUACCGUAGCUUGCUACACCAUAGACUGUGAGUUGCGAACGGGUGAGUAACGCGUAGGUAACCUGCCUGGUAGCGGGGGAUAACUAUUGGAAACGAUAGCUAAUACCGCAUAAUAUUAAUUAUUGCAUGAUAAUUAAUUGAAAGGUGCAAUUGCACCACUACCAGAUGGACCUGCGUUGUAUUAGCUAGUAGGUGAGGUAACGGCUCACCUAGGCGACGAUACAUAGCCGACCUGAGAGGGUGAUCGGCCACACUGGGACUGAGACACGGCCCAGACGCCUACGGGAGGCAGCAGUAGGGAAUAUUCGGCAAUGGACGAAAGUCUGACCGAGCAACGCCGCGUGAGUGAAGAAGGUUUUCGGAUCGUAAAGCUCUGUUGUAAGAGAAGAACGGGUGUGAGAGUGGAAAGUUCACACUGUGACGGUAUCUUACCAGAAAGGGACGGCUAACUACGUG
rnacentral:rRNA from 1 species